GUUUUUCUCUUUCUUCUCAACGUUUUUUUAAGGCUUUGUUCAUUUUCCUUUCCAAGCGUACGUCGGUGCGUCGAGUAAAUUGACGUUGUUCCUGUACUAUAUUGCACCUGUGAUUUGUCAUCCUCGUCUCAUGGGCUUGUGAUGCUGUGAGUGACCCCAUGGCAAGAAGAGAAGAGCAAACAGAGAGGCCAGAGUGGAUCCUCAUCGUGUUGUACCAGACCUGAGGGCACGUGACCUGGGAAUGUGCAUCCACAGAUAAUACUACCUUCAGAGAACUCUACUUAUAGCAAUUAUUGCAAGUUGCUGGAGGAACAUCUAAAGAAUCCUUAGGAAAAGACUUGAAGACCUUAGAAUACUCUGCUUAGGCAAACCAAAGAUAGAAGAGAUUUGGUCACAUCAAGGCUGAGAUAACUAGGGAUGCUGAAAUCCUCCUACAAGUCAGAUUGGGUA